rnacentral:rRNA from 1 species
AUUCCAGCUCCAAUAGCGUAUAUUAAAGUUGUUGCAGUUAAAAAGCUCGUAGUUGAAUUUCUGUACAGUCCCGGUUCUGGCUUCGGUCAAGCCGUGGAUUGUGCACCCGCUUGCAAAUCUAGCUCGGCCUUCACUGGUCGACUAGGGGAGUAAGCCCUUUACUUUGAAAAAAUUAGAGUGUUUCAGGCAGGCAAUGGCUCGAAUACAUUAGCAUGGAAUAAUGGAAUAGGACUUUUGUCCAUUUGGUUGGUUAUUGGACAUGAGUAAUGAUUAAAAGGGACAGUUGGGGGCACUAGUAUUUAGUAGUCAGAGGUGAAAUUCUUGGAUUUAUUAAAGACUAACUUAUGCGAAAGCAUUUGCCAAGGAUGUUUUCAUCG